GGGGUGACUGCACAAACACAAUCAGGACACCGAGUUGCACACCUCUGUCUGCAAUAGGAUUAUGUCCUUCCCUGGAGAAAAACUCUAUUUCAUCGAGUGGGCAGCGCACAUGAAACCACCACACACCUGAUUAACUGGGAGCGGCGCGGGUGACCAAGAGCGGAGCGGCCUGAACCGCACAGGAAUGGCCUCAGUGGAAAAGCACAGCGGGAAACUGCCCAGGACCAGACCGUGCCACACGGAGCCGUGGCUGACACCCGGCCGGGCUGGGAGCUCUCACCGGCUGAAAUAUCCCCUGGGCACCCCAACAUAACCCAGCAGCUCUGCUACAGAAAAGCUGCUAUUUAAUAAAAAACACCAGGUUCGGCCAGUAGCAAACACAUCACUGAGAGCUGUUAAGCUAACACAUUUUUGCUGGGCAUACCUGUGCUGAUCCUGCAUUCCCUGACUCCUUCACCUCGUUAUUCCUGAGCUGCUCACUCACUGCUGAGCUGCCCGAGUGCACGGGGCUAUUGCUGGCAGAUCGUGAGGCAGCUCUGAAUCCCCUGGAGCCUGGGUGCCCACUGAGAGAUUGUUGCAACUGGAGAAUUUUGCAAAGGAUGUUAAAAACGCAAAGCAUUUUGAGAGGUCUCCGUGUGACAGUUGUGGAAGGCAGUGACCCUGAAACAGGCAGGGACAGUGCAGCAGAUACCCAUCCCUCACCCAUCAGGCUGCCUGGAGCCUCUCAUCAGGUUUUUUUUCUUUAAAAGAAAAGUUAUCUACUGGAAACAAAGCAAAAUGUCAUCUCCAAGAAGGAGGCAUGCCAACAUAUGGUGCAAAUUAGGAGCUAGAUUUCAGCAGUUCUUGCUCAUGUAAACUUCAGGCUAUUUUAACAGGAGGUUGUUAAAGUUGGUUUCUAUAUCUGAGUGAUAUCAAGUGUGAAACUACUUAUAAACCUGUCCUGUAAGAGAAAUAACACAAUUAUAAAUAAUACAGCCAGACUUUAGGAAAAUGAAAUGCGCAUUUGUGACUGCAGAAUAAAAAGUGGCACAUCCUAAACAUUAGAAUUAUUUAUGUUUAUCAUAAUAUAAUAAAAUCCAAUAGCUUUACCCC